rnacentral:rRNA from 1 species
UACGUAGGGGGCAAGCGUUGUCCGGAAUUAUUGGGCGUAAAGAGCGUGUAGGCGGCCAGAUAAGUCCGCUGUGAGAUCUCGAGGCUCAACUUCGAGCUGUCGGUGGAAACUAUCUGGCUAGAGUCCGGAAGAGGAGAAUGGAAUUCCUGGUGUAGCGGUGAAAUGCGCAGAUAUCAGGAAGAACACCCGUGGCGAAGGCGGUUCUCUGGGACGGUACUGACGCUGAGACGCGAAAGCGUGGGGAGCGAACAGG